UUUUUUGGGGGCAACAGUGUGGCACCAGCAGCGGCGGUACUUCCAGCUCCAGUAGAGUAUAAAAAAGUUGCAGCAGUUAAAAUGGUAGUAGUACAAUGUGGGGCCCGGCGGGGUGGUCCGCCCUGCGGUGUGUGGUGUUGCGGGGCGUUUCACUUUUGGGAGCAUCCUCCCGCCCUUUGGGGGGGGUGGGGAACCACCAGGAAUUUUAUUAAAAAAAAAGAAGAUUCAAAACAGCCCUCUUUUGGAAGACAACAUCAGCGAGGAAUAAAAUAAUAGGAGGGGUUGUUUUUUUUUGGUUUUUUGUAGGAUCGCAGUGAUGAAUAAGGGGGGUGGUGGGCGGCAGUAGUCUUCCGUCAGAGGAGGAGAUAUUGGUAGGUUUGUGGAAGAAUAACUGCGGAGAAAGCAUUCAAGGGGGUUUUCUUCAUUCAUCAAGAGAGAAGGAUGGGGGAUCAAAAGAUCUGAGAUAGUGGUAUUGUUAAACAGAAAUAACCGGAUAAGAUUC
rnacentral:rRNA from 1 species